UACAGAGGUCCCGAGCGUUGUUCGGAUUCAUUGGGCGUAAAGGGUGCGUAGGCGGUGGGGUAAGUUGGAUGUGAAAUCUUGGGGCUUAACCUCAAAAUUGCAUUCAAUACUGCUCCGCUCGAGUUCUGUAGAGGAGAUUGGAAUUUACGGUGUAGCAGUGAAAUGCGUAGAUAUCGUAAGGAACGCCAGUGGCGAAAGCGAAUCUCUGGGCCACUACUGACGCUGAGAAGCGAAAGCAUGGGGAGCGAACAGG
rnacentral:rRNA from 1 species